rnacentral:tRNA from 1 species
UGCAUCGGCCGGGAAUCGAACCCGGCAGGCGAGCAUUCUACCACUGAACCACCGAUGC